AUAGCGGAGGAAAAGAAACUAACAAGGAUUCCCUUAGUAGCGGCGAGCGAAGCGGGAUGAGCUCAAAUUUGAAAUCUGGCGUCUUUCAGGCGUCCGAGUUGUAAUCUAUAGAAGCGUUUUCUGUGCUGGACCGUGUCCAAGUCCCUUGGAACAGGGUAUCAAAGAGGGUGACAAUCCCGUACUUGACACGACCACCAGUGCUCUGUGAUACGUUUUCUACGAGUCGAGUUGUUUGGGAAUGCAGCUCAAAAUGGGUGGUAAAUUCCAUCUAAAGCUAAAUAUUGGCGAGAGACCGAUAGCGAACAAGUACCGUGAGGGAAAGAUGAAAAGCACUUUGGAAAGAGAGUUAAACAGUACGUGAAAUUGUUGAAAGGGAAACGAUUGAAGUCAGUCGUGUCUAUUGGUUUCAGCCGGUCCUGCCGGUGUAUUACCUUUAGACGGGUCAACAUCAGUUUUGGACGGUGGAUAAUAGCAGUUUGAAUGUGGCACCUCCGGGUGUGUUAUAGCUUUCUGUUGCAUACACUGUCCGAGACUGAGGACUGCAGCUCGCCGCAAGGCCGGGGUCUCGACCCACGUUACGAGCUUAGGAUGUUGACAUAAUGGCUUUAAACGACCCGUCUUGAAACACGGACCAAGGAGUCUAACAUAUCUGCGAGUG
rnacentral:rRNA from 1 species